rnacentral:lncRNA from 1 species
UUUUUGAGUUGGUGGAGUCUAAUAUAUCUCUUUCCUUAGCUAUUUCCCUUCAAAUGUCUCCACAAAGUUUAAAAAUAGGAAUGAAGAACCAAUGUCGAUGCUUGAUCGUAUAACGCUUUCGUAACAUAUUUUUAUCAGUGUCCAUACCGUCGCCUGAUUCCAUAUUGCUUCAGCGAUUACCAGAAGUCCAAAUCCAGACCUGAUAGCUUCCAAUAAAACUAUCCAAUUGAUGUAGUAACC